CACGGACCCGUACCCUGAUGACCGGGAGAAGUUGAGUGUCAGCUGGUUCUCCGGGUUUGUGUCGAUGUGAAGUUUGGACAGCCAACCCAGAACUUUAUCAUAGUCACUGACUGAGGAGUGGCUCCCCCCUGAGACUAAAUAAAAGAGAGCCGAGACAAAACCAACCCAUUUUUAGACUGACUCUGAAGAGAUAAUUCUGAGGCAAAGGUUGAACUCAGGCAAUAAUCUUCACCAUGAGAGACAUAGAAACUAUGACAAAGUGCUGUUGACUCGCUGACAUACAGGAAGCACAGGAACCGGUCCAACUGGCUUCUGUCACCGUGUCAGAAUACAUGCAGGACAUUCUGGGACAUGCAGGACAUGUUUUCAAAAUAUUUCUGUGAUCCAGUCACACCCUGCUCACCUGUACUGGAUAUCUACGUGGCCUGUCCAUUCUUUAUAAGCCCUGUCUGCUAGGGAGCCACUGUGUUAAGAGCUGUUUACACUCCAGUCUGGCUCGCCGGCGCCUCUAUAACCUCGGUGCUUGUUUUUUAAACUAUAAACUGUGUUCACUGAGCGGCCUCUCCACCAGGCUGUUGGCGGUCGUGGACCAGUCUACAGCAGGUUUAGGACUGGUCUGCUCAGCCUCUAUCCUUUUCAAAUGUGCUCAAAAUAAAUCGACUUGACUGGAGUGCAGGACAGGAGCUGAGGGAGGAGGCGAUGCAGGAGGAGUGAUGGGAAGAAAAAGUGCCCGAGGAGUCGCUGACGACCGGCGGCAGGUGACAGAUGGUGGAGGUGAAGCGGGAGCAGUGAAUGACGGCUUGAUGACAAGUCGGGAUUUAAAUGCCUGAUUUUCAGACAGGUGCUGAAUGUCACAUGUUUAAACGGCAGGUAAAAAUAAACAGGGGUUGGCAGGGGGGGAGUCAAAGAGCGACGCAGUGAGGCAGGGGAGCAUGAGAGGCAAUCUGGCAGAGAAUGAGCAGAAGGGAUACGAUUUAAAGUAUGUGGCAGAGGUAAUAAUACGCGAAUGGAGGAGGCAGGUGAUGUGGAUGAUGACAGGAAGCAGAGCUAGUGUCAAGAAAAGGAACAGUCUGGACUCAGACUUUUACAAUAAGGAGUUGCUAUUUGACCAAAUAUCAAAAUGUCAUAACUUCCUGAUGUUGUUCAAUAAAUUCUUUACCAUUAGCGGUAAAUAUUUGAGGACUUUGUGUGUGUUGUCUAUACAGCACUACUGUAACAGUAGCUGUCAUAACAAUGCGACUCCUCUGAGUCCUCAUAGAGAAACCUGCUCACUGACGCAACCAAUAUUUUGAAGAUAAUCACAAAUGGCUUCAUUUGGCUUCUUAUUUCAGGGCUGUUGCUCAUUAAUCGAAGUGACUGUGAAUGUGCAGGAACCGGCUGUUUUCUCUUGCAGUCAAUUAGUUUUUAUCUUAAUUUGGCUUCCUAUUAUAAUGAAAGAACACAAAGAAAUCAAUUGUAAUCAGGUUCCACUU